GACGAACGCUGGCGGCGUGCCUAACACAUGCAAGUCAACUUGACUGAAGGAGCAAUCUGACAGUAGAGUGGCGCAAGGGUGCGUAACGCGUAAGUAACUUGCCCCAAGGUAAGGAAUAACGUCGAGAAAUCGGCGCUAAUACCUCAUAAUGCAGCGGAUCCGCAUGGAUAUGUUGUUAAAGGUUUACCGCCUUGGGAUAGGCUUGCGUCUGAUUAGCUAGUUGGUGUGGUAACGGCACACCAAGGCUACGAUCAGUAACUGGUCUGAGAGGACGAUCAGUCACACUGGAACUGAGACACGGUCCAGACUCCUACGGGAGGCAGCAGUGAGGAAUAUUGGGCAAUGCUCGAAAGAGUGACCCAGCAACGCCGCGUGGAGGAUGAAGGUAUUCUAUAUCGUAAACUCCUGUGAGAGCAGACGAAAGACAGAUUAUUAAUCUGGAUGACUGUAUGCUCAGAGGAAGCCCCGGCUAACUACGU
rnacentral:rRNA from 1 species